GAUGAAGAACGUAGCGAAAUGCGAUACGUAGUGUGAAUUGCAGGUUUACGUGAAUCAUCGAAUCUUUGAACGCAAAUUGCACUUUCCAGUUUUCUGGGAAGUAUGCCUGGUUGAGGGUCGUUAAAAUAACAAUCGUAAAAUUUUUUUACGGAUUUGGGUAUUCCGACGUUUUUUAAAUGCUGGUAACUUUAAAAUGAUCUUUUUUGGUUUAAGUUAAAACGUUCUAUAAUUACAUGGUUCGUUGAAAACUUACCUAAUAUAUUAUAUAUUAUGUUUACACUUGUCAUUUUAAUCGAUUCGUGCAAGCAUAUAUUUUUUUUAUGACCUCAACUCAAGCAAGAUUACCCGCUGAACUUAAGCAUAUCAAUAAGCGGAGGA
rnacentral:misc_RNA from 1 species